CCAAUAGCGUAUAUUAAAGUUGUUGCAGUUAAAAAGCUCGUAGUUGAACUUCGGGAUCAAUGGAUCGGUCAUGCCAUCGGUAUGUACUGGUCUCAUUGGUUCUCACCUUCUAAGGAACCAUAAUGUCAUUCAUUUGAUGUUUUGGGGAAUUAGGACUGUUACCUUGAAAAAAUUAGAGUGUUUAAAGCAGGCUAACGCUUGAAUACAUUAGCAUGGAAUAAUGAAAUAGGACAUCGCAUUCUAUUUUGUUGGUUUCUAGGAUCGAUGUAAUGAUUAAUAGGGAUAGUUGGGGGCAUUAGUAUUCAAUUGUCAGAGGUGAAAUUCUUGGAUUUAUUGAAGACUAACUACUGCGAAAGCAUUUGCCAAGGAUGUUUUCAUUAAUCAAGAACGAAAGUUAGGGGAUCGAAGACGAUCAGAUACCGUCGUAGUCUUAACCAUAAACUAUGCCGACUAGGGAUCGGAUGAUGUUGAUUUUUUAAUGACUCACUCGGCACCUUACG
rnacentral:rRNA from 1 species